AUUAAACGCUGGCGGCAUGCCUUACACAUGCAAGUCGAACGGCAGCACGGGGGCAACCUUGGUGGCGAGUGGCGAAGGGGUGAGUAAAGCAUCGGAACGUGCCCUGGAGUGGGGGAUAACGUAGCGAAAGUUACGCUAAUACCGCAUAUUCUGUGAGCAGGAGAGCAGGGGGAUCGCAAGACCUUGCGCUCUGGGAGCGGCCGAUGUCGGAUUAGCUAGUUGGUGGGGUAAAGGCCUACCAAGGCGACGAUCCGUAGCGGGUCUGAGAGGAUGAUCCGCCACACUGGGACUGAGACACGGCCCAGACUCCUACGGGAGGCAGCAGUGGGGAAUUUUGGACAAUGGGGGCAACCCUGAUCCAGCCAUUCCGCGUGAGUGAAGAAGGCCUUCGGGUGGUAAAGGCGUCUUUCAGCAGGAACGAAACGGUAGGUCCCUAAUACGGGCGUACUAAUAGACGGUACCUGAAGAAGAAG
rnacentral:rRNA from 1 species